CGUAGGUGAACCUGCGGAAGGAUCAUUAUCGAAUUCAGAAGGCUUGGGUUGUAGCUGGUCCCUCGGGACAAGUGCUCGCCCUUGCUCUUUCCGACACACCCUGUGCACUCCCGCGUGGGCUGCGAUGACCUCGGUCGUCGCGCUCGCGAUUUUAUACACUCUUCGUAUGUCUCAGAAUGUCUUUGCGUGUUGCGCAUCUAAUACAACUUUCAACAACGGAUCUCUUGGCUCUCGCAUCGAUGAAGAACGCAGCGAAAUGCGAUAAGUAAUGUGAAUUGCAGAAUUCAGUGAAUCAUCGAAUCUUUGAACGCACCUUGCGCCCCUUGGUAUUCCGAGGGGCACACCUGUUUGAGUGUCGUGAAUUUCUCAACUCCGCCUCCUUUGCGGGAGAGCGGGGCUUGGAGUUGGAGGUUUUGCGGGCGCAAGUCCGCUCCUCUCAAAUGCAUUAGUGAAGCCCAGGUGGCCUCGGCGUGAUAAUUGUCUACGUCCAAGGUUGUCUAUUGCGGUUUUCGCUUCUAACCGUCCCUCGGGACAAUUCAUCGAAACUUGACCUCAGAUCAGGUGGGACUACCCGCUGAACUUAAGCAUAUCAAUAAGCGGAGGAAAAGAAACUAACAAGGAUUCCCCUAGUAACUGCGAGUGAAGCGGGAAAAGCUCAAAUUUAAAAUCUGGCGUCUUCGGACGUCCGAGU
rnacentral:rRNA from 1 species